UACGGAGGAUGGGAGCGUUAUCCGGAUUUAUUGGGUUUAAAGGGUGCGCAGGCGGCACGGCAAGCCGGCGGUCAAAUCGCGGGGCUCAACCCCGCCCAGCCGUCGGAACUGCCGGGCUAGAGUGGGCGGGAAGUGCGCGGAAUGCGUGGUGUAGCGGUGAAAUGCAUAGAUAUCACGCAGAACUCCGAUUGCGAAGGCAGCGCACCGGCGCCCUACUGACGCUCAGGCACGAAAGCGUGGGUAUCGAACAGG
rnacentral:rRNA from 1 species